GACGAACGCUGGCGGCGUGCCUAAUACAUGCAAGUCGAGCGGACCAAACAGGAGCUUGCUCUUGUUUGGUUAGCGGCGGACGGGUGAGUAACACGUGGGUAACCUGCCCGUAAGACCGGGAUAACUCCGGGAAACCGGAGCUAAUACCGGAUAACACCGAAGACCGCAUGGUCUUUGGUUGAAAGGCGGCUUCGGCUGCCACUUACGGAUGGGCCCGCGGCGCAUUAGCUAGUUGGUGAGGUAACGGCUCACCAAGGCGACGAUGCGUAGCCGGCCUGAGAGGGUGACCGGCCACACUGGGACUGAGACACGGCCCAGACUCCUACGGGAGGCAGCAGUAGGGAAUCGUCCGCAAUGGACGAAAGUCUGACGGAGCGACGCCGCGUGAGCGAAGAAGGGCUUCGGAUCGUAAAGCUCUGUUGUUAGGGAAGAAGAAGCGCCGUUCGAACAGGGCGGCGCGGUGACGGUACCUAACGAGAAAGCCCCGGCUAACUACGUG
rnacentral:rRNA from 1 species